AACGAACGUUGGCGGCGUGGAUUAGGCAUGCAAGUCGAACGAAUGUCAGUUUUGUAGCAAUACAGAGCUGGCGGAAGUGGCGAAAGGGGCAGUAAUGCAUGGGUAACCUACCCUGGGGAUGGGCAUAGCCGUUCUAACGAGCGGGUAAUUCCCAGAGAUUCGGCGGGAGGGCAUCCUUCUACCGGGAAAUGAGUUUCGCCUCGAGAGGGGCCCAUGUGCUAUUAGCUAGUUGGUGGGGAACGGCCUACCAAGGCUAAGAUGGCUAGCGGGUGUGAGAGCACGACCCGCGCCACUGGCACUGAGACACUGGGCCAGACACCUACGGGGUGCUGCAGUCGAGGAUCUUCGUCAAUGGGCGCAAGCCUGAACGANCGACGCCGCGUGCGCGAUGAAGGCC
rnacentral:rRNA from 1 species